UACGAAGGGUGCGAGCGUUAUUCGGAAUGAUUGGGCGUAAAGGGUGCGCAGACGGUCCACUAAGUCAACUGUUAAAUUUCCCAGCCUAACUGGGAGCUCGCAGUAGAAACUGAUGGACUAGAGGAUGGAAGAGAGAAGUGGAAUUCUCGGAGUAGCGGUAAAAUGCGUAGAUCUCGAGAGGAACACCGAUGGCGAAGGCAGCUUCUUGGUCCAUAUCUGACGUUCAUGCACGAAAGCGUGGGGAGCAAACAGGAUUAGAAACCCGUGUAGU
rnacentral:rRNA from 1 species